GAGUUUGAUCGUGCUCAGAUUGAGCGCUGGCGGCAUGCCUUACACAUGCAAGUCGAACGGCAGCACGGGAGCUUGCUCCUGGGUGGCGAGUGGCGAACGGGUGAGUAAUGCAUCGGAACGUAUCCUGGAGUGGGGGAUAACGUAGCGAAAGUUACGCUAAUACCGCAUAUUCUGUGAGCAGGAAAGCGGGGGACCUUCGGGCCUCGCGCUCUUGGAGCGGCCGAUGUCGGAUUAGCUAGUUGGUGAGGUAAAGGCUCACCAAGGCGACGAUCCGUAGCAGGUCUGAGAGGAUGAUCUGCCACACUGGAACUGAGACACGGUCCAGACUCCUACGGGAGGCAGCAGUGGGGAAUUUUGGACAAUGGGGGCAACCCUGAUCCAGCCAUGCCGCGUGAGUGAAGAAGGCCUCGG
rnacentral:rRNA from 1 species